rnacentral:lncRNA from 1 species
AUGAGGAUAAAUUAGGGGUCGUUUGAUAGCUGCUAACUGGGUAAGAACUGACUGAGUUAGACGCUGACUGAGUUAGAAGUUCUAACUGAGUUAACUUCUGACUGAAACUUGUUGUUUGAUUUUACAUUUGACUGAUUGUGCAAAAUGACUAUAUUACCCUCAAACAACAUUUCUUCGUAAAAACAUUCAACCUACAGUAAAACAAAAUAAUUAUAUUACCCUUAAAUAAAAUAGCAUAUAAAAUCCAAAAGUAACCAUAUAAUACACAACACUUUAAGGUAUAAAUUUGACAAUCUACACACAUAUUCCGUAUGUACAAAAUUGUUCUUUUUUCCUUCUUCCCAUUCUUUCUCAAGCUAUUAUCAUCAACCCCAUACUUCAUAAUCCAUAUACAAUAAAACUCAUAAUCCAUAUACAAUAAAACAUAUCGAUUUUGAACGCCUUUGAAUUUCCUUUUGAUCGCAUCUUUUUCAAUUUGCAAACAUCAGCACAAAACUAACUUCCCGAUUGAUUGUUAAGGAUGGAACUCCAAUUUUGACCAUCCAAACUUCUUUGACUUUAAACUCAAUUAAUGCUUCCAUUUACUAUUGUAAAUCAUAGCCGCAUCGUCUUGCAUCUGAUUUCUUUUGCUUCUUGAUCAAAAUCAAACUAGUCGAUUUGAUUUUUUUUUUCCAGACCGACACAGAAACACAAUUAAAUCUUCAAAUUAAUUUCCAAAAUCAAGCUAGUCGAUUUGAUUUUUUUUCCAGACCGACACAGAAACACAAUUAAAUCUUCAAAUUAAUUUCCAAAAUCAAGCUAAUCGAUUUGAUUAUUUUUUUCUAGAAUCAACCAAAAUGAAGUUCUUUACAGAAGCAAUACAAGGUAUCCCAUAACUGGAAAUCUAUUGUGAAUCAGAAAUCGUGUUGCAGAGAUAGAGAGGAGAUUAGAGAAGAAACUAACGAUGAAGGAGGCCGGAGACGAUGAUUGCGAUGGAGGACGAUUCUGGAGGAGGAGGCCGGAGUUUGAGGAGGAAGCGGUGGAGCUAGCUGUCCUUGCGUUCGUUCUUUGGCGACGAGGAAGAAGAGCUGCGAAGGAUUACGCAUAUUUUGG